CCCUUAGAUGUUCUGGGCUGCACGCGCGCUACACUGACGCACGCAACAGGUGCCUGCUCCGAGAGGACUGGGUAAUCAUUUGAGUGUGCGUCGUGAUGGGGAUAGAAUAUUGUAAUUAUUACUCUUCAACGAGGAAUGCCUAGUAGGCGCAAGUCAUCAGCUUGCGUCGAUUACGUCCCUGCCCUUUGUACACACCGCCCGUCGCUCCUACCGAUUGGGUGUGCUGGUGAAAUGUUCGGAUCGGCCGUUUGUCGCGGUUUCCGCGUCAUGUGGCUGAGAAGUUCAUUAAACCCUCCCACCUAGAGGAAGGAGAAGUCGUAACA
rnacentral:rRNA from 1 species